AUCCUACGAGACUUCAAAAUCAUGCUGUAAAAGUUUCAGUAUUGUUCAGAAAGCAAGAAGUGUACCAAACUACAGAGCAAGCACGCUGUCUUAUAUCUGCAACACGUUGGAGGUGCUAAUCACGAUGAUGCUGCUGCACUUUAUUUCAAGAAGAGCUUCCAAAUCGAGGAUGAUGACCUGCCAAAAAAAGUAACUUGGCUUGGAUCAAAAACCAAGGCACUGACGGCUCUCAAAGACACGCGGUUUGCUACAGCUUGUGAAAGUGCAAUGUCGGACAGCAAAAAUUUUGAUAAACCUACUAACACGAACUUCGCCACAGCCAUGACUAAGGCUUUGAAGUCGCUCAAAGAGGAUUAUCGGCGAAGAAAAGCUAAGCGCGUUCGCACGGGUGAUCGAAGGACUCACAAUGGACGAGUUAGAGGAUACGCAGCUCAUAUAUCAAGGAUAUGAAGAAAAUAGAGGAGUAUAUGGCAUCGAAGAAAAUUUAUA